ensembl:misc_RNA Metazoa_SRP Metazoan signal recognition particle RNA
GCUGGGUGUGGUGGCCUGCACCUGUAGUCCCAGCUACUCAGGAGGCUGAGGUGGGAGGAUUGCUUAAGCCUAGGAGCUGGAGGCUGCAGUGAGCCAUGAUCAUGCCACUGCAUCACUGCACCCCAGCCUGGGCAACAGAGCAAGACCCUGUCUCCA